GGUUCGACGCCGGAGAGGGAGCCUGAGAAACGGCUACCACAUCCAAGGACGGCAGCAGGCGCGCAAAUUACCCAAUCCAGAAUUUGGGAGGUAGUGACGGGAAAUACUGGGGUGGCUCCUAGCGAGCCUCGCCCGGAAUGGACGUAGCCCAAAAACAUCGGUGAUGAGCAACUGGAGGGCAAGUCUGGUGCCAGCAGCCGCGGUAAUUCCAGCUCCAGUAGUGUAUAUCAACAUUGUUGCGCUUAAAACGCUCCUAGUUGAAAUGGGGGGCGCCGCCAGGGCCUCUGAUUUGAGGUGGCUGGUUUUGGGCAGGGCGGCGGCGGCCAGUAACUGGAGGUCUGCAGCCCUAUCCGGCGCCCCAGAAUCAUGGGCCUCGGUUCGAGCCUUUGUUGGUUGGGACCGGGCGCCGAUGGGGUGUGCCUUGAAUAAACCAUGGUGCUCAAAGCAAGCGGGAAUGCUGGGGUGUGUUAGCAUGGAACGAACUUUUAGACUGGAGCCGGGUCUGCGGGUCGUCUUUUUGUGGAGCGAUCCGGGGAGCCGGCUGGUUAGCGUUGGUGAACCAGGUCUCAGUGGUUAAGAGGGACGCCUGGGGGCACUAGUACUCUGUGGCGAGAGGUGAAAUUCUUAGACCCGCAGAAGACUGGCUGGGGCGAAAGCAUUUGCCAAGAGUGUUUUCAUUAAUCAAGAACGAAGGUCAGAGGAUCGAAGACGAUCAGAUACCGUCCUAGUUUUGACAGCAAACGAUGCCGGCCUAGCUGCGGGCCUGCUACUCCGAGCGGAGCAGAGCGGCCUCGCUGCUUGAGGGAAACCUAGCUUUCGGGCUGCGGGGAGAAUAUCGCUGCAAGGCUGAAAUUUAAAGAAAUUGACGGAGAGGCACCACCAGGAGUGGAGCCUGCGGCUCAAUUUGACUCAACACGGGGAAACUGACCGGGUCCAGACAUUGGUAGGAUUGACAGAGUGGUGGAUCUUUCAUGAUUCAGUGAAUGGUGGUGCAUGGCCGUUCUUAGUUGGUGGAGUGAUCUGUCAGGUCUAUUCCGGUAACGAGCGAGACCGCGGCCCCGUUUUGUGUUGCGGGGCGGAGAGGAGGCGGAGCUUUCGGCCAGUGUUCAUUUAUGGAUUUGGGAAGAAAGCCCGCGGCCGACUCGGCCCCUAAAACUUCGGGGGACUACCGGUUGAAAGCCGGGGUAAGCGCGGCAAUAACAGGUCUGUGAUGCCCUUCGAUGUCCUGGGCUGCACGCGGGCUACAAUGGCGCCAGUAGAGAGUUGCUGGCCCGAGGGGGCCGGCAAAGCUGAAAAUGGGCGCCGUGACGGGGAUUGAGCCUUGGAAUUGUGGCUCAUGAAAGAGGAAUUCCUCGUAAGGGCCGGUCAUCAGCCGGCCCUGAAUACGUCUCUGCCUCUUGUACACACCGCCCGUCGCUACUACCGAUUGAAUUGUCCUCAAAGGGGGUUGGAGCGGAGAGCCUCGGCCUCAAAAGCUGGGUUUUUGCAA
rnacentral:rRNA from 1 species